rnacentral:rRNA from 1 species
GUUUGAUCCUGGCUCAGAUUGAACGCUGGCGGCAUGCCUUACACAUGCAAGUCGAACGGUAACAGGCCGCAAGGUGCUGACGAGUGGCGAACGGGUGAGUAAUACAUCGGAACGUGCCCGAUCGUGGGGGAUAACGCAGCGAAAGCUGUGCUAAUACCGCAUACGAUCUACGGAUGAAAGCGGGGGAUCGCAAGACCUCGCGCGGACGGAGCGGCCGAUGGCAGAUUAGGUAGUUGGUGGGGUAAAGGCCUACCAAGCCGACGAUCUGUAGCUGGUCUGAGAGGACGACCAGCCACACUGGGACUGAGACACGGCCCAGACUCCUACGGGAGGCAGCAGUGGGGAAUUUUGGACAAUGGGCGCAAGCCUGAUCCAGCCAUGCCGCGUGCAGGAUGAAGGCCUCGGUUGUAACUGCUUUGUACGGAACGAAAAGGUUUACGUUUUAAUUACUAGGGAACUGAUGACGGUACCGUAACGAAUAAGACACCGGCUAACUACGUAGCCAGCA